UACGUAGGGGGCUAGCGUUAUCCGGAUUUACUGGGCGUAAAGGGUGCGUAGGCGGUCUUUCAAGUCAGGAGUGAAAGGCUACGGCUCAACCGUAGUAAGCUCUUGAAACUGUAAGACUUGAGUGCAGGAGAGGAGAGUGGAAUUCCUAGUGUAGCGGUGAAAUGCGUAGAUAUUAGGAAGAACACCAGUGGCGAAGGCGAUUCUCUGGACUGUAACUGACGCUGAGGCUCGAAAGCGUGGGGAGCAAACAGGAUUAGAUACCCGCGUAGUCCCU
rnacentral:rRNA from 1 species